CCUACGGGGGGCAGCAGUGGGGAAUAUUGCACAAUGGGGGAAACCCUGAUGCAGCGACGCCGCGUGAGUGAAGAAGUAUCUCGGUACGUAAAGCUCUAUCAGCAGGUAAGAAAAUGACGGUAUCUGACUAAGAAGCCCCUGCUAACUCCGUGCCAGCAGCCGCGGUAAUACGUAGGGGGCAAGCGUUAUACGGAUUUACUGGGUGUAAAGUGAGCGUAGACGGCAGCGCAAGUCUGAAGUGAAAUCCCAUGGCUUAACCAUGGAACUGCUUUGGAAACUGUGCGGCUAGAGUGCAGGAGAGGGGAGCAGAAUGCCUAGUGUAGCGGUGAAAUGCGUAGAGAUUUGGAGGAACACCAGUGGCGAAGGCGGCUUACUGGACUGUAACGGACGUUGAGGCUCGAAAGCGUGGGGAGCAAACAGGAUUAGAUACCCCUGUAGUC
rnacentral:rRNA from 1 species